CCGCCUUCCGCCAUUCCGGUUGUAGACGGAAGAGACAAAGUAGAGUAGAAUAUGUGAGAACUGAAGUCAUCAGUUUGAGAACAAACAUACUGUAACAAAAGAAUGUCAUCAAUUGAUUAGUUUGACUGUAUUUGAGUGAAUUUCAGUGAUGCUUUUAAAAUGGUUAAUAAGUUGUCUCUGUGUGUUCUAUCUGUGUGUUGUGAGUUUCCGGUACACGUGGUUGACGCAAAAGCAGAAAAAAGUCAAGAAAAUUUCUCAAAACAACCUAUUAUUCCCAGAUUACAUUAGUACAAGAAGUGAAGUAAAGGGUAGACUGGUUCUCUGGCAUUGACUUUUAAAGUCCAUGCUUUCGUGCUGAAAGAGUGAUUGGUGUUUAAAUUUGGUAUCUUUGACUACUGACCCUUGGUCAACAGUUGCUGUUUUAAGGGACAGUGUAUCAGUGCAACAGUUAAAGUCUGCAUUUAUUAGUGCAGUAAUGUUGUGAAGGACAAUUUAAACAACACAGUGAAUUUUCAAUGUCAACCACACCUACCCCAACCUGAAAUUAGAACACUAGACGGUCUAGACCCAGUGUUUAGCCUUUGAAUGGCAGGAUUGCCAAUCUCCAGUCUAUGUGUGGAUCAACAGUGACCACAGUUGAAUUUGGCAACAAAAUGUCACUGUUGAAGAAAAACCGUCAACGAGUUGGAAUGUCGACGCCGAUAAUGGCGGUAUAGUUCGCAAACAGCCCAGAUUUCGUCUAAAUUUUCCGGCGUUUUCACUCAUUUCUAACUCACCAGUAACCUUAAAUUUAAGAAACUAACCCAUAGCCACAGGAUAAUCGGAAAUUGGGAAUUGUUCUUCCUUCCACUUCAACUAGCGUAAUUGCAUACAGACUCUACCAAGGAGAUAUUUAUUGGGGACGCAUCUGUGUGGUAAAACUGGCAUCUGUACUCGCUUCGUUGUAUUCAGUUACUUCGUUGAAACUGCGCCAACUGUGCGCGGUGCGGUGAGUUUGAAAAAUAAUUUUCGGAAGAAUUUUUUUUAAAUUUCGUAAUAGGCAUCAAUAACAUUUUCUCUUCUUUUAUUCAUCACCACCAUGAACUCAAAAAUCGUUCUUCAGUUGGUUUUGUGGGCUGGGGUUGCAUCCUGCAUGCCAACUGGCGAAGUAAUUCCCGAUCAAGAUGCUUGGAAUCAAUUCUUGUACUCUUACGGAUACGGUUAUCCCAGCAACUUCGCUUACCAAUCACAGUCAGCAAAUUUGUCCGCAGCCUAUUAUGUCCCUGUCGCUACUCCUAUGGAUAAAUUUCCGCCUUCCACGGCUAGGCUGAUCAACCAUGCCAAUUUAGAAUUGGCAUCGCAUCAAGUUUUGCGCUAAUUUCGCAUUAGCUUUUAAAGCCCUUUAGCCCGACCCCAUAGAAGUUUAUCUAAGGACCAUCAGCACUUUGUCCACCUCGCGGAAUUGCUAGUUCAUCACGAAAGACAUAACGACAACAGCGGUUUGAAGACCUCAACAUUUUACCAGUUCUUUUUCCCUCGGAUGCAGAACCAAAAUUUCGGCUCUAGUGUUGCCACACAUUCACGAUAGGAGCUGGUCGGAGGGACAUUAAAAGGCAA